rnacentral:tRNA from 1 species
CAGCGAUUGCGGGCAGGUAGAGCAGGUCCCUGUUAAGGACAAGGUUAGAGGUUCGAAUCCUCUCGGAGGAGCCG